AUCAUUUCGGGGACAUCCGAUAAAAUUAGAAUGAUACAGAGAAGAUUAACAUGACCCUGCACAAAAAUAAUACGCACAAAUUAAAUAAUGGUCCAAAAUCAA